rnacentral:rRNA from 1 species
AUUGAACGCUGGCGGCAGGCCUAACACAUGCAAGUCGAACGGUAACAGGGAUCAGCUUGCUGAUUCGCUGACGAGUGGCGGACGGGUGAGUAAUGUCUGGGAAACUGCCUGAUGGAGGGGGAUAACUACUGGAAACGGUAGCUAAUACCGCAUAACGUCGCAAGACCAAAGAGGGGGACCUUCGGGCCUCUUGCCAUCGGAUGUGCCCAGAUGGGAUUAGCUAGUAGGUGGGGUAACGGCUCACCGAGGCGACGAUCCCUAGCUGGUCUGAGAGGAUGACCAGCCACACUGGAACUGAGACACGGUCCAGACUCCUACGGGAGGCAGCAGUGGGGAAUAUUGUACAAUGGGCGCAAGCCUGAUGCAGCCAUGCCGCGUGUAUGAAGAAGGCCUUCGGGUUGUAAAGUACUUUCAGCGGGGAGGAAGGGAGUAAAGUUAAUACCUUUGCUCAUUGACGUUACCCGCAGAAGAAGCACCGGCUAACUCCGUG